CUCAGCAAGAGAAGGAAGAGUAUAGAUCUACACAAAUGUCUUGGAAGAAAUUCAAAAAGGCAAAAGAAGCUAAGGUACUUAAACAAUCUCUGUUGACAUCAGAUACUCAGAUCAUUCAAUCACAACAUAAUCUUAACUUUGACAGUACUUCAAGCAAUUUUAGUGACAGUCUAGAACAUGGACUGUCUUCUAGGGUGCUAACAGUCAAUGUAUCAGGUGAAUUUAAUCAGACAUAUAAAAUGGAAUCUUCAACUGACACUCUAGAAGAAAAAAAAGUAAAAAAAAAUAAGAAGCCUCCCAAUGAAAGGAAUAUUGAUGGCUUCAGUUCUAGUCCGCAGAAAACCAAAUCUUUAAACAGUAAUACGGAAUAUUCUUCCUCAGAUCAGUAUAUCCCAAAAUCCCCAGUUAACCCAGUUGGUCAAACAUCAUACAGUAAUCAAUUCCUUGCUCUUGUGACUCAAACUCUUACAACUUCUGAUAUAGCCAAUGUUCCUCUUAGACCAAUGAGUCCCAAACCACGCAGCCCUAGUUCUGGCUCCAACAAGAGAAACAUUCAAUAUUCUUGCAGAGCAAGUACAGUCUUUUUAAACUCAUUAGGAAAUGAGACAAAGGGAAAAGUUUUGCCAGAUCCUCUUGAAAGUCUAAAAAAAUUAAAGGCACGAGCAGUGCAACAUAUUCCCACCCAUUCAAUUGAAAAUGAUUUCCACAACAAUGACAAUGGUUUUACUUGUCAGUCACAGCCAAGUCUUAUUGCUUGCUCUUCAAUGAAGGGAAUAUCUAAGAACAAGACAAGGCUGAGGGUGUCUCCCACAACACCAAUACUGUUUCCUCCACUACCCCUCAAGGACCAACAUUUUUCCCAAAGUACUUGCACUGGAUUGGACUGCCUGGACUGGAAAAGGUACAUCUCAUUACCUGUGAUCAAUGAUGGAGCAUCUGAUAAAACUGCUCUCCAGGAUGAUGUGGGUAGUGAAGAAGACUUCUAUGAAGAUUUUCGUAGUUCCAAUCUUUAUUUUGGUCACCCUGGAGGUGGAGGGGAACAGCUGGCCAUAAAUGAGUUGAUUAGUGAUGGCAGUGUGGUAUAUGCAGAGGCCCUUUGGGAUCAUAUCACCAUGGAUGACCAGGAGCUGGGUUUUAAGGCUGGAGAUGUGAUUGAAGUAAUGGAUGCUAGCAAUAAGGAGUGGUGGUGGGGAAGGAUCCUGGACAGUGAGGGAUGGUUUCCAUCUAACUUUGUUCGGCUCCGUGUUAAUCAAGAUGAACCCAUGGAAGAAUGCUUAGCAAACUUUGAUGAUGAAAAAAAUGAAGAUUUGAUCUGUACAUUGCACCAUCAUGGACCUGGACUGCCCUCCAAAGACCAGAUGAGAACUAAUGUCAUAAAUGAAAUCAUAAAUACAGAAAAAGACUAUAUCAAGCAUUUAAAGGAUAUCUGCGAGGGCUAUAUUAAACAGUGCCAAAAAAGAAUGGAUAUGUUCACAGAUGAGCAGCUUAACAUUAUUUUUGGGAAUAUUGAAGAAAUCUACCGGUUUCAGAAGAAAUUCCUUAAAGGUCUGGAGAAGAAAUUUAAUAAGGACCAGCCUUACCUCAGUGAAAUUGGCUCCUGCUUUUUAGAACAUCAAACUGAUUUCCAGAUCUACUCGGAAUAUUGCAACAAUCACCCUAAUGCCUGUGUGGAGCUCUCCAAGCUAAUAAAGAUCAAAAAGUAUGUUUUCUUCUUUGAAGCAUGUCGGUUACUCCAGAAAAUGAUUGAUAUCUCAUUGGAUGGCUUCUUGCUCACACCAGUCCAAAAGAUCUGCAAAUACCCACUACAACUUGCUGAACUGCUGAAAUACACCAGUCCUCGGCACAGAGAUUAUAAAGAUGUGGAGGCAGCCUUAAUUGCAAUGAAGAAUGUUGCCAGGCUGAUUAAUGAGAGGAAGCGGCGCCUAGAAAACAUCGAUAAAAUUGCCCAGUGGCAAAGUUCAAUAGAGGAUUGGGAGGUUUAUACUGAUACUUCUAAUGGGCCACUUCUAAGUGUGAAUGCACAGCUCCCUCCAAGGAAUUAAUGAGGCACGUGAAUAACACGCAAACUUGCGUGUGCCAUUACAAUCAGCCAGGCACCCCCAUCCUUCCCCGGAGUGAAUUAUGUUCCCGCUCUCACCUGCUCCCGAUUGAAGCCUGCACUUUUGGGGGAGAAGAUGUGUUAAGCAAAAGUUCUGAGCUAAUUUUCUCUGGAGAAAUGACUAAAAUCUCCCAGCCCCAAGCUAAGAGCCAAC